GACGGAGGGGGCAAGCGUUGUCCGGAAUCACUGGGCGUAAAGGGCGUGUAGGUGGUCUGCUGCGUCGGCGCUGAAAUCUCCCGGCUUAACCUGGAGGCGCGUGCCGAUACGAGCAGACUUGAGGCAGGGAGAGGGUAGCGGAAUUCCAGGUGUAGUGGUGAAAUACGUAGAUAUCUGGAGGAACACCGGUGGCGAAAGCGGCUUGCUAGCCCAACACUGACACUGAGGCCCGAAAGCGUGUGGAUCAAACAGG
rnacentral:rRNA from 1 species